UCCUACGGGAGGCAGCAGUGGGGAAUAUUGCGCAAUGGGGGAAACCCUGACGCAGCGAUACCGCGUGGGUGAAGAAGGUCUUCGGAUUGUAAAGCCCUUUCAGUGGGAACGAUGAUGACGGUACCCACAGAAGAAGCUCCGGCUAACUCCGUGCCAGCAGCCGCGGUAAUACGGAGGGGGCGAGCGUUGUUCGGAAUUACUGGGCGUAAAGGGCGCGUAGGCUGUUUUGCAAGUCAGGAGUGAAAUCCCCGGGCUUAACCCGGGAAUGGCUCUUGAAACUACAAGACUGGAGUCCGGCAGAGGGUGACGGAAUUCCCCGUGUAGAGGUGAAAUUCGUAGAUAUGGGGAGGAACACCAGAGGCGAAGGCGGUUGCCUGGACCGGUACUGACGCUGAGGCGCGAAAGCGUGGGGAGCAAACAGGAUUAGAUACCCUGGUAGUCCACGCUGUAAACGAUGAGUGCUARUUGUCGCGGGUAUCGACCCCUGCGGCAACGCAGCUAACGCGAUAAGCACUCCGCCUGGGGAGUACGG
rnacentral:rRNA from 1 species